GACAUUAUACUUUAUUAUUAGAAGAUGUGAUUUGCAAUCAUAAAGAAAGAGCUAUUCUUUAAUGCCA
rnacentral:tRNA from 1 species